GACAUGUUGGAACAGCGCCCCCUGUCGUCCACUCCCCCCUACUGCGCAUGUCCUCUGCUCGGAUCAAUGUUCAGCUAAGGCUAUAGGGUGUCGGAACCGGACCUGGAGCAGGAAGGAGAACCGUGCAGAACAUGGAACCGCUCAUCCCGGGGUGGAAGCUAGACCAGCGGACGGCGGUGCAGCUGACGGCCGCCGCGUGCGGGGCGGGGGCUCUGGUGGUGCUGCUGCGGACCGUCAGCCGCCGCCGGGCCGCGAGGGACAAGAUCCAGCGAGCCCGAACCCGCAGGACCGAGAGCCUGCAGCGGGCGGAGCAGGAGGUGCAGCGGUACCGGCAGGCGCAUCCAUCUUCCAGCUCUGCGUUGAUCUCCUCCUCCUCCUCCCUGGUGAAGCUGACAGAUCAUUUGCAUAAAGGCUCCCUGACUCCAGAGGAAGUCUUUUACUUCUACAUGGAAAAGACUCUGGCUGCACACAAGAAGCUGAACUGCUGCAGCGAAAUCCUGCCGGAGAGCUUUGACCAGCUGAAGACUCUUGCGUCCAACAAGGACGGCCUCCUGUACGGCGUUCCCGUCAGCAUUAAGGAGAAUCUAGAAUAUAAGGAUCACGACACUUCCUGUGGGGUGGUUGUUAAUCUGGACCGACCAGCCAAGAGGCACAGUGUCAUUGUUGAAGUUCUGAAGAGACAAGGAGCCGUCCCCUUCGUGAAAACCAACCUGCCCCAGGCUCUCUUAAGCUACGACUGCAGUAACCCCAUCUACGGACAGACGUUGAACCCGCAUAACCUCCAGAAGACCAGUGGAGGCUCCUCCGGUGGGGAGGGGGCUCUCAUCGGUGCUGGGGGCUCACUCCUUGGUAUCGGCAGUGACAUCGGGGGCAGCAUCCGGAUUCCAGCUUCAUUCUGUGGGAUCUGCGGCUUUAAGCCAACGUCGGGUCGGCUGAGUUUACAGGGAUUAGUUCCCAUUUACCGAGGGCAAAAGUCUGUGCCGUCCUCUCCCGGACCCAUGGCGAGAGACGUGGACAGCCUGGUUCUGUGCAUGCGGGCCCUUCUCUGCGAUCACAUGUUUGCCCUGGACCCCACGGUGCCGCCGUUACCCUUUAACGAUCAGAUCUACCAGAGCUCCAGACCUCUGACCAUUGGAUUCCUGGAAAACGACGGCUACACUGAAGGUUCUCCCGCCAUGGUCCGCAGCGUCAGAGAGGUGAAGGCUCUGCUGGAGCAGGCGGGCCACACGCUGGUGCCCUUCUGUCCUCCGAGGAUCAGUCAGGUUUUGCCUGAGCUCUUGCUGAAGGGUGUGUUUGCAGAUGGAGCCACCAGCAUGCUGCGAAAACUGGAGGGGGGGCCCAUCGACCCCUGCCUGGCCCCACAGAUUCGUCUGUACAGUCUCCCGCUGUGGCUGAAGAAGACCUUGUCCUUCCUCCUCAAGCCUUUUACGCCUCGUCUUCCUGCCGUGCUCAGAGCUCUGUCUGGGAUCAGUUGCGUUUCAGAUCUGUGGGAGCAUCAUGCAGCUGUUGAGGACUACAUUUCUGAGACCAUCGCUGCUUGGAGGAGAUCCAACCUGGAUGUGCUGCUGUGCCCCGUGCUUGGACCAGCCUUCAACUUCCUCUACUGUGGAAGAUUUUCAGGAGGUAUCAGCUACACCAUGAUCUACAAUCUCCUGAACUUCCCUGCCGGCGUGGUCCCCGUCUCCAGAGUGACGGCGGCGGACGAGGAGAACCUUAAACUCUACAAAGGGAACUUCCAGGACUAUAUGGACAAGCUCCUCCCACAGGCUGCGAGGGGGGGCCAGGGCCUACCCGUGGGGGUGCAGUGUGUGGCGCUCCCGUGGCAGGAUGAACUGUGUCUGCGCUUCAUGAAGGAGGUGGAGCAGCUGGUGGCGCAGAGCGGAAAGUAGCGGUCCUGGGGAUCCGAGAAAUCCUCGGGAUAUUCCGCUGCGUGGUCCGCCUCCCGUCACUGUGGGUGUGGGAGGAUGCCCAGCUGCCAUCCAUCGGCCUUUAAGGAGCUCCGGGUGGGGUCCACGGCGCGCGCACACGCUGCGUCUUUGCGCCAAUCACAGCGCUGGUUUCCUUCUCACUCCUCCCUCCUUUCUGGAUGACUGCUGGUCCCGAACCGCCGCUCCGGGCUGGAAAAGUUCAAUUAAAACUCUCAAUUAUUUUAGUAGUGACGGGGUACAGGUUAUGCCCAAAUAAGGCUCCCGGAAGUGAUUGAAUGCUGGGGUUUUGGUCUUAAAUAAAGUCACUUUUAUUUUAGUCCAGUCAGAACGUCUAUAACAGAAACUUCUUUAGUUAAUCCGACCAUAAAGUCGUUGGUCUAUUAUAGCUAUUAUUAGAUUUAUAACAAAUGUGACGUUAAUUUCAGCUCACAAACAGAAUAUUGACAUCAAACGUGCGUUUUACCUCUGCGUCUCUAUGCGCUCUGCAUGGCAGAGUUUGGCCCGGCGGCUCCCGGGUUAAUUCCGUGCUUUAAUUUUAUUUUGCCCGCAUGUUUCGGCGGGAAAGCGGCAGAGAUGGAGAGAGAUGCAGGCUGGGCCGCUUUGCCUCCAGCAGCUUCCCGGCCCCGAGGGAUUUAGGUUAGGAUUGGGGAGACAAGACGCCAUUUCACCCUCCAAAAAUGUCUUAAAAUGACUGCUGGUAAGAGGAUUAAAACAAUAAUGCCCCUCUCUUCUCCUCACGUUUUUUUUUUUUUUUAAGAAAAGAUUUCUUCUUGCGAAGAAAACCCGUUUAGGCUGGAAUUAGGGGCAGCGAAAGUAGCCUUUUAAUGUAAAGCUCGCAUAUAUUUGUUGAAUUUUCUUCCAUUGAAAUGGAGAGGGGGGGGGGGGGGGUUCUGCGUUUGAUGUUUGGUCUCAUUCAACCACAGACUCCUGAAAAGAUCGCAACUUCCAUAUAAAUAUUUAUUCUCCUUUUUUAUAUCAAACACAUAAUUUUUAAAGAGACAGAUGAUUAGAGCAACAAGUAGUUUAAAAAAUGAUGGGAUGGAAAAACAAACAAACACAUUUGACACCUUUUGUCUCUUUGUUUCUAAACCCAUUAAAGCGCACAGGAUGUUCCUUCAGUUCCUCCGCAGGUCCGUUUUUACGCAGCGUCACGCGCGUGGAUGUUCGCCACGGCCGCGAGGCUGCAGUCAGGUGUCAGGAGGCGCGUGCAGCGAUUCUCUGCAGAUGCCUCCGACGUUCACCUUCUCGGAUAACGGCCCAAUGCCAAAUUCAUCUCGGAUUUCUGAGGAUCAUGAAUUGUUUUCUUCCCUUUGGAGUUGGACUUCUCCUCCGAUCUCAAACGGUAUUUUCGCCCUCAGUCCUCCUCCAGAACUUCCAUCCCAGCAGCAGGACAUUGGCAGCCCGAAUCAAGCAGAGACUUAUCAGGCAUUUAAUCAGGUUGAUUAACCGUGAAUAUUUGUAAUUUUCCCCCUCCAGUGGCUCAACUCCAGGAGAAAGUUGAUUUGGCUUUAAAGCCCAUUAACUUCAAUCAUUAGCUUUUCUGUAACUUCCUGAAACCGUUUGUUUCAGACUGGCUCUCCGUUGCUCUUAUUCAAGGUUAGCUUGUGCUCAUUUGGAUGAAAUUAAUCAUUUUGAUGCAUGGCUCAGAAUUGACUGCUUCUGUGGGACUUGUGUGACUGCAGUAACAAAGCGCCUUGCCAUUGGCAAUCCUUUGUAUGAAAGGGGAAUUCACCUUUAAAACAGACCUCACAUGCUGUGGUUUUCAGAUCUCUGUGGAAUCCCACCUUUCUAUCCCAUAAUAAAGUAUUGACACCAAACUGGCUGGU